GCUCCGUUGGUGAACCAGCGGAGGGAUCAUUACAGAGUUGCAAAACUCCCAAACCAUUGUGAACGUUACCUAUCCCGUUGCUUCGGCGGGCGGCCCGGGCCCCGCGCCCGGCGCCCCCCGGCCCCCCGUGGGCGCCCGCCGGAGGUAAACCAAGCCCUUGAAUUGCAUGGCCUCUCUGAGUCUUCUGUACUGAAUAAGUCAAAACUUUCAACAACGGAUCUCUUGGUUCUGGCAUCGAUGAAGAGCGCAGC
rnacentral:misc_RNA from 1 species